CUGAAUAGGGCGCAUAAGUAACAGGUCGUAGACCCGAAACCAGGUGAUCUACCCAUGUCCAGGAUGAAGGUAAGGUAAUACUUACUGGAGGUCCGAACCCACGCACGUUGAAAAGUGCGGGGAUGAGGUGUGGGUAGCGGAGAAAUUCCAAUCGAACUUGGAGAUAGCUGGUUCUCUCCGAAAUAGCUUUAGGGCUAGCCUCGAGGUAAAGAGUCAUGGAGGUAGAGCACUGUUUGGACUAGGGGCCCUUCUCGGGUUACCGAAUUCAGAUAAACUCCGAAUGCCAUGUACUUAUACUCGGGAGUCAGACUGCGAGUGAUAAGAUCCGUAGUCGAAAGGGAAACAGCCCAGACCACCAGUUAAGGUCCCCAAAUAUAUGUUAAGUGGAAAAGGAUGUGGGGUUGCUUAGACAACCAGGAUGUUGGCUUAGAAGCAGCCACCAUUGAAAGAGUGCGUAAUAGCUCACUGGUCGAGUGACCCCGCGCCGAAAAUGUACCGGGGCUAAACAUAUUACCGAAACUGUGGAUGAACCUCUUUAGAGGUUCGUGGUAGGAGAGCGUUCUAAGGGCGGUGAAGUCAGACCGGAAGGACUGGUGGAGCGCUUAGAAGUGAGAAUGCCGGUAUGAGUAGCGAAAGAAGGGUGAGAAUCCCUUCCACCGAAUAUCUAAGGUUUCCUGAGGAAGGCUCGUCCGCUCAGGGUUAGUCGGGACCUAAGCCGAGGCCGAUAGGCGUAGGCGAUGGACAACAGGUAGAGAUUCCUGUACCAGUGCUAAUUGUUUAACCGAUGGGGUGACACAGAAGGAUAGGGAAUCGCACGAAUGGAAAUGUGCGUCCAAGCAGUGAGUGUGAGAAGUAGGCAAAUCCGCUUCUCGCGAAGCAUGAGCUGUGAUGGGGAAGGAAAUUAAGUACGGAAGUUCCUGAUUUCACGCUGUCAAGAAAAGCCUCUAGGAAGAGUAGUACUGCCCGUACCGCAAACCGACACAGGUAGAUGAGGAGAGAAUCCUAAGGUGAGCGAGAGAACUCUCGUUAAGGAACUCGGCAAAAUGACCCCGUAACUUCGGGAGAAGGGGUGCUCUAUUAGGGUGCAAGCCCGAGAGAGCCGCAGUGAAUAGGCCCAGGCGACUGUUUAGCAAAAACACAGGUCUCUGCAAAACCGUAAGGUGACGUAUAGGGGCUGACGCCUGCCCGGUGCUGGAAGGUUAAGAGGAGUGCUUAGCUUCGGCGAAGGUACGAAUUGAAGCCCCAGUAAACGGCGGCCGUAACUAUAACGGUCCUAAGGUAGCGAAAUUCCUUGUCGGGUAAGUUCCGACCCGCACGAAAGGCGCAACGAUCUGGGCACUGUCUCAACGAGAGACUCGGUGAAAUUAUAGUACCUGUGAAGAUGCAGGUUACCCGCGACAGGACGGAAAGACCCCGUGGAGCUUUACUGCAACCUGAUAUGGAAUGUUUGUACCGCUUGUACAGGAUAGGUAGGAGCCGAAGAGACGUGUGCGCUAGCAUACGAGGAGGCAAUGGUGGGAUACUACCCUGGCUGUAUGACCAUUCUAACCCGCCACGCUUAGCGCGUGGGGAGACAGUGUCAGGUGGGCAGUUUGACUGGGGCGGUCGCCUCCUAAAGAGUAACGGAGGCGCCCAAAGGUUCCCUCAGAAUGGAUGGAAAUCAUUCGCAGAGUGUAAAGGCACAAGGGAGCUUGACUGCGAGACUGACAAGUCGAGCAGGGACGAAAGUCGGGCUUAGUGAUCCGGUGGUUCCGCAUGGAAGGGCCAUCGCUCAACGGAUAAAAGCUAC
rnacentral:rRNA from 1 species